rnacentral:lncRNA from 1 species
GAAGCAGCUAGGGUUAGCGUUGGCUUCUCUCUCUCUCUCUCUGUCUCUCUGUCUUUCUGUCUCUUUGUCUGUCUGUCUCUCUUUGUCUCUGUUUCUCUGUCUCUCUCUGUCUGUCUCUGUCUCUUUCUGUCUCUGUCUCUCUCUGUCUCCCUGUCUCUCUCUCUCUCAUUUAUUUCUAGAGUAUUUACAAAUUGAUUUUCCUGGUCUAAACCAUGAGGGGCUGGCAUGAUAAAAUGAAGCUGUUUGCUGUUCCGUGUCGAUCUGCCUGAGAUGAUGCUCUCCUGAAUGGCACCUGAGCCUGCUGGGACCCACCUCACAGGACCGUGUGCGGCUGCAAAGCUGAGCUGUUGUCUUGCCUGUGGCCUCCGAAACGCAGCCCUGGGCCCUGUGAUCACUGCAUUUCCUCUGUGCGGCUUUGAGGGACAGAGUGUGCUGACCAACAGAAGAAAGGCAAACAGCAGAAACUGGCACCGUGGCGGCCGCUGGACAUGGCCUCAGUCGGCUGCAGAGAGAAUUUAUUUCCACAGCAACCCUCAGCAGGCGCAGACCUCGGCCCGACCCAUUUUUAGAAAGGAACAUAAGCAGGUCCUGUCUUCCCAGAACAGACUCUCAAAGGACAAAAUGUGGAAAGUAGGAAAGAAAAGCUGCCGUCAAAGUCUGCAGUGCAUACACCAGGCGCUCCAGCAUGCAAGAGCUUCUGUAUCGCUGACCACGGCUGCAGAGACUGCAUGGAA